UCCGAUAUGGUGUAGUGGCUAACAUUAUCGCCUCUCAAACGGUGCGCGAUAGCCCGGGGUUCGAUUCCCCGUGUCGGAA